rnacentral:lncRNA from 1 species
CCCAAAUGAAGACUAUGAAUUAUGUUGGGCUAAAUAACAUUCCUUAAUUGUAAACCAGUUGGGCUUCCAACAUUAAAACAGGCCCAAACUAGAAAGAAACCAGUAGCCAAAACAUUGAAAAUAAAUAAUUAGAGGUUUGGCGACGUUAAUUGUUACCUGACGGGUCGCCGGAAAAGCUGUGGUGGCUUUAUAAAUCCGAUAUGAUGUGUGAAGAUGGUGUGAC